rnacentral:lncRNA from 1 species
GGUUUUCCUCUCAGCUAGAGAACAAGUGGCUUUCAGCUGCCUGAGUGCUCAGAGGUUGCAGGGAGGCGGCCUAUUCUGGGAUGGAGGAGAGAUCUGGCUGAGAGGAGACAGCCCUGGCGUGGCUGGCCUAGGUUCCAGGAUUACCCUCUACCCAGUAGAGUGGUGGUGAUGUGGGGUGAACCACUGAACCACCCAAUGUUUACUAAGCACUGUAGCUUAAUCUCCAUAACGCUGUAGGGGAGGGCGGAUUGUUUAGCCAUUUUACAGAAGAGCAAAGUAUAUUCUGAGAAGGCUAUGGACCAGAUCCCAUAGGAAUUUUUUUUUUUUUUUUUUUUUUUUUGAGACAGUCUCUCUCUGUCGCCCAGGCUGGAGUGCAGUGGCGCGAUCUUGGCACACUGCAGCCUCCGCCUCCCGGGUUCAAGCGAUUCUCCGGCCUCAGCCUCCUGAGUAGCUGCACCACCACGCCCAGCUAAAUUUUUUUUUUUUUUUUGAGACGGAGUUUCGCUCUUGUUGCCCAGGCUGGAGUGCGGUCGCGUGAUCUCGGCUCACCGCAACCUCCGCCUCCCGGGAUCAAGAGAUUCUCCUGCCUCAGCCUCCCAAGUAGCUGGGAUUACAGGCAUGUGUCACCACGUCCAGCUAAUUUUUGUAUUUUUAGUAGAGACGGAGUUUCUCCAUGUUGGUCAGGCUGGUUUUGAACUCCCAACCUCAGGUGAUCCACCCGCCUCGGCCUCCCAAAGUGCUGGGAUUACAGGCAUGAACCACCGCACCCGGCCAUGCCCAG